rnacentral:rRNA from 1 species
AGUGAACGCUGGCGGCAGGCCUAAUACAUGCAAGUCGAACGGCAGCACAGCAGAGCUUGCUCUGUGGGUGGCGAGUGGCGGACGGGUGAGGAAUACAUGGGAAUCUGCCCAGUCGUGGGGGAUAACGUAUGGAAACGUACGCUAAUACCGCAUGCGCCCUAAGGGGGAAAGCCGGGACCGCAAGGCCUGGCGCGAUUGGAUGAGCCCAUGUUCGAUUAGCUAGUUGGCGGGGUAAAGGCCCACCAAGGCGACGAUCGAUAGCUGGUCUGAGAGGAUGAUCAGCCACACUGGAACUGAGACACGGUCCAGACUCCUACGGGAGGCAGCAGUAGGGAAUAUUGGACAAUGGGGGCAACCCUGAUCCAGCCAUGCCGCGUGAGUGAAGAAGGCCCUCGGGUUGUAAAGCUCUUUUGUCCGGAAAGAAAGCAAUCGGUUAAUACCCGGUUGUUCUGACGGUACCGGAAGAAUAAGCACCGGCUAACUUCGUGCCAGC